rnacentral:lncRNA from 1 species
AGUAUGUUCCUGCCAGUGAGACAGUCACGGGAGUUUCCAGAGCUGCCAGGCCAUCAAAGCAGGAAAACACCUGACACCCUGGACCUGGGCUGGACCCACCACCCUCACCCUCUGGAGUCGCACGCGCUCCCAGGCGAGCCCUGAGCCCUGAGCCCCUCCCUCGAGCAGCUGCUGUAAGGGUAUUUAUAGCCUGGAGCGUGAGGGGGCAAGGACACGCGCUUUAUUUCGGAAGUGAUAAUUCCAGCUCCAGGUGGGUGAACCCCGGAGGACCUAGUGUCCCCCCCCAACUCCAUUCUCACCUAUACCGCUCGGGACAGUCCCUGCUCGCGCCCAGCCCACCUAGAAACAGUCCCUUCUUGCUGAGUUCCAAGUGUGCAGGCGAAAGAGAUGGGGCUGUUCUUCAGAUUUCUCUUCCCAGCUUUCAGCCCCCGAGCUGCCCACAGCGCUCACCCUCCACAUCCCGGCCGCCCUCUGGACAUGCGGGUGAAGAGUGCGGCGCGACGCUGACCUCUAGUGGUCGGCCUUGGUAGUGCAGGGCAGACGGCCGAGGCUGAGCCGCGGGCCGUGCGGGGACAGGCCACUUGUUCCCAUCCCGCUUUCCUCGCCCCACUCCUCGUUUACCCGCACCCCUCUGCUCCUUGGUUGAGGCUCAAGGAUUGAGCCUGACAACCCAGGCGUCUUUGGGUAGUUGCCUUCCCGGGACUAGGAACCCUAGGAAUGGGUGGCGGGGUGGGGCGGGGACAGUUCUGUCUCUCCGCUCACCCUGUCCCGCCGCCGCCCUCAUAGGGCCAGGCACGCAGUUAAUGUCUGCCAUCCAUCUAUUCGUCAAAUAUUUGCGGCACACCUGCCUAGCCAGAGAGAAAAGGACACGACACGACCCGCCCCCCGGGGCUCGCAAGCCAGUCCUGGGGCCUGACCGUGCGGGAACCGCGGCAAACACUGGACUGCGAAAGCGCAAAGGAGACCGAACCCAUUGGGGGCGGAGGGGGAGGAGGGCCAGGCAAGUCCCUGGAGGAGACAAUGCUCUGAAAGACGAGCAGAAGUUAGCUGGGUGGAGAAGCGGAGAGCGGCGCUCCGGUCGCGGGGCUCAGCCUCCGCAGAGGCUCCGCGGCUGAGGGCGAGCAGGAGAAGGUAAGGCCACGCCCCCCUGUUGUGAUUGGCCAACCGGGGUCCGACGUGUGGGCCCGCUGGCUGACAUGAUAGGUUCUCCGGUGUCCCAAGAGCGGAGCCCGCCGGCAGGCGCCGGGCCCCCUGGGAGCUGGGCUGCGACCUCUGCUGGGGUCUCCGCGGGUCGCCCCCCUAGGGCUUCUCCAGGCUGCGGUACUUCUUGCGCUGCACGGACACCGGGUCCUUAAACAGCACCGGGUCCAGACGCAGACGAGAGGACAGCAAGGGCAUGUGGCCGAACGCUGCCGCUAUCUGGUUGAUGCAGUCGGGGGCUGGGGCAGGCGGCUUUGGCCUGGGCCCCGGGCCCCCAGGCGCCUAAGAGGGAAAGAAGCAAUGCAUUAACGGGCUUCUCUGCCCUUCCGAACUCCCCACGCCCGUGCAGCAAGAAAGACUGGAAUUAGACAGUGAGAGGGAAUCCUCUCCGGCAUCCCCGCCCAAUCCCUGCCAGUUCCGACCAAUCCCCCUCAGCCCUCACCAGUGGAGCAGCCUCCUGGCGCUGCUUGCCAUAGGGCACCUUGAUAGGGGGCAGCUUGGUGACUGCUGCUACUAUGAAAUUCAUCAGGACGUCCACACAGGUGGGUGCCUCAUCUGCCAGGGUCCUCAGAGCCUUGGGCAGGGAGUGGGUGAAGAGAGUGUGGUAAUACCUGGGCAAGAGGAAAAGACAGGGAGAGGCUGCAGCCAAAUCCAUCCCCAGGCCCCAUUCUCCUCCCUCCUGACCUCACCUCUCCCUUUGACCCCCAUCCCCAAGCCUCUGAGCCCUGGCUGCCUCAGAGAGCUCCCAUCCCUGGCGUGAACAGCUCUCCAUUGUGCUGUGCCCCGUGGCUUAUCUGCAGUUAGUGGUGUGUUCCCUGCCCUCUCCCUCACAGCUCCUUGGGCCCCCCAUCCUUGGGCUCUGAGCGCUGAACUCAGAGCCAGAAUUAGAUGGGUUUGGAUCAGCUGGUUUCAAAGCCAUCAAACAUGGAAGCCCAAAGAACAGUUGUGGAUGAACCAGGCUGAUACCGCUCCGGGUGAGCUCACUUCACACGGCCCUCAGACAGGCCAGCCUCAUCUCGCAGACAUUAGGUAAUUCUUCACUCUACUGAGAAUUCCCUGCAGAGCUCCUGAGUAAUCUAUAAGAGGUUCCACGUUAUGCAUAUUUGAUUUAAACAUGUUUAAGGAACCCCUCUAAAGAGGUCUUACAGAAUUCAGUCUCUGCCCUAAGACCGGAGCACUUCAGGCAGCUUCUGGAAGGUCUGGGAUGUUCCCCAACUCAUAACAUCCACAUUCAUAAAGCAUCAGGACUAUUUUCUUGUCACCCCACCACCAGCAAACCCACACACUGCCCUUACUCACUGCAUGGCUCUACUUCAAAUAACAAUAGCUACCAUUUGUGGAACCUCUGUGCCAGGGACUUCAUUUAAUGUUCACACCAGCCCUGGGAGGUGAAUCCAUCCCAUUUUACAGAUGAGAAAACAAACUCUAGAGAAGUGAGGAGAUUUGCCCAGGAUCCCACAGCUGGGAAGUGGCAGAUCUCGGCCUUGAACCUGGAUCCCUGGGGUCUAGGCCACUCUGCUCCGUUCGGGGUGGGGGUGGGGUCUCUGGUCCUCUGAUACUCUGAUCCCUGUGCAGGGUAGGGGUCUGUACCUAUGGUAGAAGGCGGCUGUGGUGAGAACCAUGGAGAAUUCGUUGGUCCUCUCAGCAGUGUAGCCCCAGCCACCAUGGGCCUCGUCCCAGAAAUGGCUCGACGUCAGGAAGCCCACCAUCCGCUCUGGGAAGCUCUGCCACACCAGAAAGGCAAAGUCCACCUGGGGAGGGACUCAAGUGAGCUGUGAGGAAGGACCUCCUAAAUGCCUAGAACAUCCAGGGAAAUGGAGGCAGGGGCAGCCUGGCUGAGGGGCCCGGGCAGGACUCAGGGGAGAGGGCGCGGGAGCCAAGACUUGGAAUUGGCUGGAAGUGUGGCAUGAAAGCUUCCAGGGGCCACAAAAACAAUUUCUCAAAAGAGUCCAUGGAAAGCCUCAACGAGACUCCUAAAGAGGAGGCUGCCUGGCUUGCUGGGGUGGUUUCAAAUGCAAGAGGCUGGACCUCAUGACCUGGGGUCCCCUCAACCCUGGGAACCUGAGGGGCUGCCAGGGCCCUCUGGCUCUGUGUCUACCCACACUGGGCUUCUCUUGGGCCCAGCCCUCACCUCACUUGUGGAAAGACUGCUGCGGGCAUCGAGGCUGAGGAUGGCAUCUGUUCUGAUGGUGCUAUAUGGGUAGAAGCGAUCACUAACCUGCAGGGAGUGGGGGAGGGGAACUCAGCCAUUGGAACAUUCCCCCCACCCCCAUCCAAUAAGUAGGAGCCAUUCAGGCACAGUGUAGACGCCUGAGCCAUGAAUAAAGCCUCCCUUCAGGCACAGUGUAGACGCCUGGGCCUCAAAUAUGGCAAGCCUGUGCAGAGCUCGUUUUGGGACCUGGGCAACUCAUUUGACCUCUUUGGAUCUCAGUUUCCCCUUUGGUCAAAUGGGGCAGUUGGUCUCUAGGGGCCCUUCCACUUUUGACAUCUUGGAAUUCCUCCAUUGUCAUAUUGUCACAUCAACUCUGGGAGGAGUUGUCAAACUUCCCUCAUUUGAAAGAAACAGAUCUAGAGAGACGAAGGGACUUGCCCACAACCAUGCGGCAGGCAGGUGGUUCACACCAACCACGGUUCCCAGAAGCCUCCCCUUCCUGGCCCCGUGUGCUGCCCUUGGUCCGUAUUUUCUCAAGAACCUGGGUUUCUCCUCUGUUCCUCUUCUGAGAUGUCAGCGCUCUCCUCUGUCUUUCCCCAUCAUGUAAGCCCCAGUGCUCUGGAAGCACAGCUCACAGGGACCAGGGAGGGAAAAGAAUCAUUACUAUUAGCCCUGUGGCUGAAACCUACUGUGUCAUUCUUCAGGCCCAACUGCGGCUCAGGCCCAAGUAUUCAUAAAACACCCCAUGGGUGCCCUCCCCCAGCUCCCAGCAUGGGCCCACCCCUUUCAUGGCUCUCCUCAUCCCUUACCUUCCUGUGCCCAUCAAUGACUGUCAAGGGCACAGCUGUCUCCGGCCACCUGGAUGGGAGUGGCCUCUCAUUGCUCCAGAGAACCAAGAUCUAGAGGAUAGGGGGUUGUUCUUGAAGUCUGGGAUCUGGGGCAGAAGGCGGGUUGCGAGGGGCAGGAGUGAUCUUUCUCAAGGUGGAAGAAGUUUGAGAAGUCAGCUUUGUAAACUGCACAUGGGAGAAGGGUUAGUUGGAUCCAUGGUCCUUUCACCGCUGCUCUGUCCUUGCCUCUGGGCUUGUAGAAGGCAGGGAUUCUGGUGACAUGAGGGUAGUGACCUGUGGCUUCAGAACUCAAGAGAGUUGUCUGUGGUAGUCCCUAGCCUGGGCCCUGACUCCAUGCUCCAUCCUCAUCUUUUCUCGAAGCCUUCAUUCUCUUCCUCAGGCUCUUUUAUGACUCCCAGCCCAGCUCAAUGGCCUGUUUGGAGCCUUCCUGUGUGCACCCUGGCUGAGCUAACUGCUUCACUUCCUCUACAAGGACUCUUAUUAAUCUAUCUGGCUUCUCUAGAAGUAAGAUUUGACAGUCUGUGUGCUGGAAAAUGCUAACCCAGUCUGACUCUCUGGGCAGAAUCCUUCCUUACUUUUUAUCUGCUCAGCCUUAAGCCCAGGGCCUAGUGCUCAGAAAAUGACUGCUGAGUAAAGGAAUGAAUGUUUCCUUCUCCAGCCUCCCCAAGAGACAUCUGCUUUUCACGUGGCUUCAUCAAUUUCCAUGGGGAAAAGGCAACAGAAUCUUGGGACUUACAGGAGGCAGCAAGAACACUUGGAAAUCUUCCCCGUGCCUCCCCUCAAAUAGUGGUCAUCUUUGGGGUCUGGAAGUCAUCAGGGCCCUGCCCUGUCCCUUACCCCCACCCUGGAUCCCAGGACUCCAGCUGGGAAGGGGGCAGACCUGGGCACAGUGCUGGGAGCCUGCCACCGCCUGGAUGAGCUUCAGAGGGGGCUGGCCUGGGGGCCCCACCCAGAUCAGGGCGCUGAAUCUGCCCUCAGGGCGGGAGCCUGGGGGAAUGAGACACAGGCUAUUAGAGUGGGAGGGAACAGAACCCCAUGAAGAAUGACCUGAGUAGGGAAUCCCCGGGGGCCAGGAAAAAUGUUAGGGCUUGGAAAGGGUCUUGGUGGGGCUCUCCAGAUGAGGCUGGGGCAGCCCUGGGUAGAGCUGAGGGGACUUCAGGUUGUCCCAUCCCCAGGGCAUACCCUGUUGCAGGUAGUAGAAGGGGAAGUCCUGGGGGCUUGUGGAAAAAGUAGACAGGGCCAGGAGUGCCCCUGGGGGGCUGUUCCACAGCAGUGAGGGGUGAGCUGAUGUUCCAAAAAUCCGGUCCUGAAUAACCUAAAAUGAGAGAGAAGCUGAGCAGAGCGAGUGGCCUGUGUGACCAUGGCCACACCUCCCCUUCCAGGCUCUGGGGAGGGUGGCAGCUGCAUCACCAGACCCCUGGGGUCAGAAGCUGAGUCUAGAGUAGGGGGCACUCCAUGAUGUUGCUCCAGAGGUGGGAGAUGGUGGCAGGGUCACUGCUUCCCCUUCCUUCCUCACUCAUGACAGAUGUCACUAAUGGGUCAUGACAUUCUUUCAGGACUCAGAAUCCCUCCCAACAUAGCAUCCCAGGCAGCCAUCGGCGGUCAACUGGCAUUGGUGCAUGCUUUGACAUCUAUUUGCCACAGCGGUCUUCUCUAAAGAUGGGGAAACUGAGGCCAAGAUUGGAGAAGAAACUUGCCCCAAAUCUCACAGCCAAGUCUCAGAUUCAUCCCAGGACCAUCUUCAAGGAAGGGGGGGGGGUUCCCCAAACACUGUGGCAGAGAAGUAUGGAGAGGUGACAGGGAUGAAGCAGGAGUCAAGAGCCAGGACCCCCAUCAGGUGAGACCCCUCACCUCCAGAGUGGUAUGGAUGACCUUCUCCACUGAGGAGAAGUAGGCAUCCCAUAGAAACUGGGUCUGCUGACGCAGGGCGAGGACCCGUGCAGGGGACAUCUCCUGGAGGGCAGCCAGGACCUGGAGCAGAGAGGGAGAAAAGUGCCAGGUAAUAGAGCAAUUUUGAGCCCAGGAGGUCGACGCUGCAGUGAGCCAUAUUCGUGCCACUGCACUCCAGCCUGAGCAACAGAGCAAGAUCCUAUCUCAAAAAAAAAAAAAAAAAAAAGAAGCAUUCAGGGGUCACACAGAGUUGGGUCUGAAUGCCACUUGGUAACCACGUGACUGUGGUUGAGCUAUUUAACCUGAGUAUUUGCUCAUUAAUUGCUUAGUACAUUGUAGAGGCUCAAUUAAAAAAAUGGUAAUUACUAUUAACCCCCUCUGCCAUUCUCAGGGGAUUCAAGGCAGGUCACACAUAUAUUUUUCAGAGCUGGACAAAAUUAGUUUCAUCAGAUGGAAAAGUCGCCAUGCGUUUUGCUUUCCCACUCCAGUCCCCAUGGAGGCGCUCUGAGUUUGAAUUUUUUUGUAGCCUUCCCCUAAAUUGGUAUUUAAGCAGUCACAGGCCAUUGGAGCUGGGCCCAUGGGGAUUGUCUGGUCUAGCUCAUCCUAUUGUAGAGAUGAUAAAACUGAGGCUGGAAGAGGAUCAGGACUUGCUCUCAGAACCCUUAGGAAUCUCUAGCUCCAUCAGAUCCUCUGGGAGCCCCAGAGGGGAGACUUGGUGCUAGGAGAAAUUCACCAGUAUCCAUAGAAGGCAGAUAGGAAUGAGGACUGAGGCCAGCCUCGAUCCAGGAUUCUAGGUCCCUCCCCUGUCCUGGGUCCAGUUCCCACCCUGUGGGCAGGGCUCUGAGCUACCUGAAGUGGGAGCCUCUCAUCAGCUACGAUGGCUGCCUUGGUCCAGUCGAUGACCUCGGAGAAGGGCAGCUCCCAGCGGGGGCUGAGAAGCACUGGGAUGCAGCCGGCCUGGGGGGCGGGGAGGUCACUGGGGAGCCCAGCCCCACCCUGCACAUACUCACCCCCCGCCCAGUUCCAAGUCAGUAGCUGCUGCUGUUGGGGGCAAGGGGCAAAGAGGACAGGAACAUGGGAUUUUUCAGGGAGGGGAGGUUAUGGUUGUUCUGCAGAGGGUGCAGUGAAUGGGGACACAGGCAUGCCUGAGUCCAGGAGUAAAGGAGCAGGCAGCUUACUGCCCCUUCUCAUUGGCCUGGACCCAGAGUACCCUGCCAGCUCAUGAGUGCUGGGGGACAGAGGAUGGGUGAUGCUCAAAUUGGGGUUGUACCUGCAGGGCUUGGAGGAAGCGCGAGGCAGCCUCGGGACGGUGGCCAGAGAUGAGGCAGAAGGUGGCAUUGGGCAGCGUCUCCUGGCGCUGGGUCCUAAAGAGGCACAUGGGGAGGUCCCACCACACAUGAGCCUGGACAGUGACCUUCGCCCCCUGGGCUCCCUCAAUGGGAGAACCCCACACCCCUGCACCCCACACCCACACUCCCAAAUGUGUAAACCCACUCAUGCAUAUGCACAGCCGCACACUGACGCACUAACACAAACACAAGCAUCACACCAGCCACGCAUCUGUGGUUGGACUAGGAGGCAGGAGCCCUGCAUUCUAGCUCUGCCUCUGCCCUCAGUGGCCUUAGACACCUCCCUUGCCUUUCUCUGGCCUCAGUUUCCUCAUCUGUAAAAUGGGAGGCAGCGGACGCUGAUGUUUCCGAGGCCCUGCCUGACUUAGACAUGCACGUCUGCCCUCCCCCACUCGGCCACAGGCAGACUUUCAGCACCCCUUGCCUGCGUGGCCUCUGAGCCCAGCCCUCCCCGAUGCUAAAAGCCAGGCCCGUGAAAGGCUCCUCUGUCAUGAGGUGGGCUGGGCCCCCAGCCUGGAACCACACAGGAAACUGCUGCCCAGAGGUCCCCUGGCCCAGAGGACAGGCUCCCUCUGUUCCUCCCACCUACCCCCUCCACCACCCUAGCCCAGGGCCACACUCAGGCUGUGUGUGCCUGUGGGGGAGGGCAGGAGUCCCAGCCUCCUCAGAGCCAGCCUGGCAAUUGUCCACCCAGGGGACCAUUGCCUGCAACCCAGCCAGGGGAGGGAUAAAGGGAGGGACCAGGACACAGGCCUGCUCAGUGUGGGACUCAUGACUAGGGCCCAGAGGGUACUAGGACCCUCCUCAGUUACAGCCUGUUUGGCUCUGAGCCUGAACCUCCAAGAAGCAGACCUGGGAGUACUUAGGCAGCCUCGGGGCCAUGCCCCAUUGAACAGAUGGGGAAACUGAGGCCCAGAGAGACCCAAGGACUGGCUCAGGGUCACAGAUAGGGUUGAGUGGAGCUGGGACUAGAGCAGAGAUUUGCCAGCUCCUGACCCUGAGUUAUCUGAACCACCCCAGAGCUGCUGCUUUAGGGGUCUUCCAGGGGACCCCAGCCUUCUUUGUCCUCCCUCCAUGCUUAAGUGUCCACCAGGCCCUCCUUGGAAGAAGCCACAAGUAAGCAUCAGGACACCCUUCACCUCAUGAAAAGCCACAGCAGAAGCCAACCAGGCUGUCUGGCCCAGGCAGCUGCCCGGCACUUCGGAGAAACUGAGGCUCAAACCACUCCAGAGAUGACAAGUCCUGUCACCUUCAGGGAGGCGGAGGCCAAAGACAAAACUUGAAGGUCAGAGUCCAAGGCUGCCAAGCUUCGCCCCUGGGAAAUAAAACUUAUCAAAAAUGCUACUCAGAGGGUGACCCACGCUAAUUAGAAAACCGUGGCCGGCUCUGGCCAAUUUCAGAUCCAUUAGUAAACAUUUAAUGAGCACCUACCUGCUGUGUGCAGCUCCCUAACUUCCAGUUUCUCAAAGAAGUUCAGACUGAAAUCACUUUCAGGUUCAUCAAUAAUGAACUGUGCUUAGCGGUAACUAAAGUCAGCUGAAAAAAGAACUUCCUGCAAGCAAGAGUACCUGAGUGCCUCAUCAGAAAAGUGAGGGAGGGCAUGGCAAAGGGAGAGCCUUGUCGCUCAAAGUGAGCUUCUGCCUGAGCGCUGAGCUGCAGGGGCUUGGGGGAGAUCCCUGACUUUUCAGGCUCCCACCUUGGAGACCACUAGGGAUAGGUCCCAGCAAAAGGACCCUGGGGCUGACCGGGACAAGUCCAUUCUUACUCCUGGCUGUGAGGGCUCCCUGGAGGCCUCCAUGUACCUUCAGGAAGUGGAAGGAUCCCAUUCCCACGAGAGCCCUUUGGCCGAGAGAAGUCCCGGGAGCCCCAAGCAGAGGCAAGAAUUCCUGGGAGGGAGUGGAGCUCAGAAUAGUUGAUGUUGUUGGAGCAGAGAAUAGGGAGAGAGACCUGAGGGAGGAGCAAAAGGAGGAUACCAGAGUGACAGUUCCCGACUCAGGUAGGCCCUGGGAGAUGGUGGGAUACAGAAGGAACCCUCUGCCACCGGGGCCCUGGACAACCUCAGAGGGACUCCCAUUCUUGCCUGCCCAGCUAGCCUUUAGAGGCUGCUGGCCUGCUGGGGACACAGAGGGUUAGAGUGCUUAGGGGAUAACUAUCACCUGAGGCGCAUCACCCCCAACUAGCCCAGGCGGAAAGAGUUUCUGUACAAGCUCACCACAUCCCACAGGCCCCCAGUCCCUUAUAUAUGUCAAGGGCCUCUCACUGGCAGGAAAUUCUUUAGAUCUGACCUGCGUCAUAUUUGCUAUAACCAAAGGCUGUUUCUUUGAGAGGUUAAUCCCCAAAAUUAGACACGGGAGCAGCUUCCAGCUGUGACUGUGAGGCCCUUCUGAGGCAUUUGAUGAGGUUGAUCAUAAACUUUUACUUAAAACUCAGAAUUCUCAUACUGAAGGCUUUGGAGAUAGGCAAUUCUGGAUCAAAAUACUGGCUCUUUCCGGCUGGGUGGCCUGAGAAAAAUUACUUAACCUGUCUGAGCUUUCGUGCCUGGUACACAAACACUUAAAUGCUAACAACUAGCAUAUUUUAUUAUAAUCAUUAUUUAUAUAAGUGCUUAGCACAGAGUAAGCACUAUACAACUGUAUGUGGGGAAAAAAAAUAUUAGGGUAGGAGGUUUGGAAUGAGUCGUGUUUUAUGUUUUGAAAGAUCCCCAGGGGAGAAUUCCAAAACCUACCUUAGACAACCCUUGCUUCAAGUCCCCAUCUUAAUGGAAGUGCUCUCUGCCAUCUAACCUGGCUCCCUCCUGCUGCUGCAGCUGAGGCCUAAGUCUACCAGGACUACCUGGUUCUCCCAUCUCAGUCCUGCCUUCUACCCUCGUUUUUGGGCUUGCGUCUAUUCCAGCCCCCUCCCAUCCAGCCCCCAAGGCAAAAGGUUCACUUACUGCCCAGGUCCAGGGUCUUGCUCACAGCGCCCAUCCCAGGGGCAGGCAGAGGAGCCAGUGUCUGCUGUGCGCCACCCACCCCUCUCCUCUUCCAGGGCUAGCAGGGCUACCCCGGGCUGGGGGCUGUGUUGCCGCAGCUGGCCAGGAGCCCCACCUCGCAACGGGUGGGCUUCAGGGAGAAAAGGGAGGGCCACAUCAAAGCCGGGCCGGAAGGAGUCCACCGUGGGGCUGGCCUCAGCCACCAUAGCCUGUCCCAGCUGGAAGGUCCUGGGGCAGGGAGCCGGGUGGAGACGGAGGACCAGAUGGUUCCUGCCCCUGUUCCAUUGCAGAGGCAUUGAGCUGCACUCUCCAGUCUGGGCGUCCAGGCUGAGGAGGAGGAGGAGGCAGGCCCCAGCAGGGCUGAAUGUGUAGAAGCGAGAGCCCUCAAUGGAAGCCAGGAUCCUGCGAUGAGUCUCAGAGAUGGUUCCAACCGCUGGGUACACGAAUACCUUAAGGCCAUCGCCCCUGCACUUUGAGGUAUCAAAGCAAGAUUCCCAGUUGCAGCUGCCACCAUGAGGGGCUUGAGGAGGUGAAACGGCAUCUUCUGGGAGCUCUCCAGGCUGGGAGAAGCUCUGCAGGAGCUCUGCAUCCAGCCAGCGGGGCCAGCCUUGGGAAGCCCCGGGCCGAGGUCUGGGAGGCAAUGCCAGGCGGAGAAGGGAGAAGCCUCCCAGCAGGACAAGCAGGAGCCAGGAGGCUGACAGUGCCAGCCACAGGGACUUUCUUCUCCUCCACGACUGCAUGUGGCCACCCACAGUCAGGGCUAGGGAAGCUGGGAGGCCUCUGCCAGCAAGCAGGAAGAGCAGGGCCUGGGGCGGGAGACCAGAGCUGGGACCGACCUGCUAGUCCUGUGCUGUCAUUGUACAGAUGGGAAGACUGAGGCCCAUCGAGACCAGGCCGCCUGUCUAAGGUCAGAUAGUGAGUCACCAGCCAGGCAGGAGGAGGCCAGGUGGGACCCAGCUUGCUGGCCUGGCCCCCCUGCUCUCAGGACUCUGCCUUCUCGGCCUUUGGACAACCAAGCCAGCCUUUUCCCUCCCAGCAGGGACCCCUGCCCCUGGGCACUGCUCUGGCUGACGCAACCCCUGUCCAGAAUGCAGGGCCGUGUCCCCCUGCCCUCCUGGCUGCACCCCUUGACCUUGCCCUCAACUGAGAGGAGGGCUGUCUGCCAGGCCAUGGGGACCAGUCAGAGCUCCCACAGGAGGCGGCUUGGCCAGGGACAGGCUGGAGGGAGCUGGGCUGGUCUUCCCACUCCUCCCCUUGCCUGAGCAGCCCUGGCUGCCCCUGUGCCCGCUGGCAGACGCUUCUGGGCUGUGGCCCCUGUGGCUGGAGCUAAAAUUAGACCCUGCAUCCCAUGUGGAUCAUCGGCGUCAGCUGAGGUCACAGCCUGGGUGCAGCCGGUGUCCCCCUGCCUUGGAGGGCCAGGAGGGCUCGGGGUCCUGAUCCUUAUCCACUCUGCCGCUGCACCAGCUCAGGAAGUGCAGCCCCUCUUCCCCGCAGCCCAGCAGCUGCCUUGCACCAUCUGGCUUGGAGCUAUCACAGUGCAGAGGCCAGGGCCGCUGUGCCAAGCCCCCCAAACCCUAUGGUAUCUCCUCCCAUCCCUCUCCAGUCGGCAACUGGCCCAUCCUGAUCUCUUUCCUUAGCAGCAGCCUGGCUCCUCCCCUCCCAGCCCUGAUUCGCUCCUGGCUGGGAGGCAGGGUCUCCAUUUAACCCCUUCCAAACCAGUUUCCUCAAUUGCUAAUCCAACCAGCAAGUACUGCAACUCACAGCUGGCCAUGAGUUAUCACAGCCUCUGUCUCUCAGUCCUCCAGCCACCCUCCAAGGCAGAGAUUUACCUGUCAUUUCUUACAGAUGAGGAAAGCUCAGAGAGGGGAUGAACUCUUCCUAAGGUGACCCAGCUAAGAAGUGGCAGGGUGGGGAUUUCAAUCCUGAGCUCCUGGUCGUUGGUCACCCCAGCUGUGGGCCCUGUGGCUGGAGAAAAACUAGACCCUGCACCUGCUGUGGGCCAUCAGAGUCAGUGGAGGUCAGAGCCUGAGUGUGAGGAAUCUCUGAAUCGGCACAUGAGAAGGUCAACAGGUGAGACAAGUGAGGAGUUAAGGGGCGGGGGUGGAGGAAUUGGGUAAGGUGCCCCCAACUGUCCCCAGGAUUGGUCUCUCCUCCUUCAGCAGCCCCACCCCCAAUCUCCUCCAAUUCCCAGCCUUUUGCUCCAGUCCUUAUGGAAAGUUCUUCCUGCACUUGACUCUUCCAUAGUCCAGGCCCCAUGGAGGGAUUUCCCCGGUCAGUGCCCUGUGAGGGGAGUCAGGAGUGGGUGAUGUCAGCCACUGAGGAAUCUCUGGGGUGACGGGGGAGACACACUCUGGCCAUGAGGAGUUCUGGGCUGAUGAGGGAAGGCACAGGGAGUGGACAGACUUGAGUGGGUUCUGCCUCUUCCCCUGACUGCCUCGGGGGUGUUGGGCCUCUGUCCCCUUAUCUCUGGGAUGGGCAUAAUGUCAGCCAGGAAUGGGUUGCCAGGUUGACGCAGGCCUGUCCCCUGAGGUCCCUCAACAAGUGGUGGCCUCCUUUCCCCUGCGUGCCUCCCCUUGAUCUUGGAGGGCUGCUGAUCAGACCAGGGAGCCACCGUGGGAUGUUUUGCCCUCAGUGAGCAGCCAGUGUGAGAGUCCUAAAAAUGGCCCACAAAGGGGACACUUGCCUCUUGGCACUAAUGGCUCAGCCACUCGGUGAUGAACUGCAGUUCCUGCAUAACUCAGUCCUCCCACACUGAGAGGCAUCCACAAAGGCCACUGGCUGCUUCGCACGCCCCCCCUUUCACUGUGCCCAGCCAACUCCUCAUCCUGCAGGAGUCAGCUGAAAGCUCCCUCCCCACAAGAAGCUUCUCCAAUGCUCCGCAGGCUGGGUUAGAGCCCCCGUCUAGGUCCUCAUGUCAUUCCUUCAUCCCUCUAUCCCCAUACACAGUCAUCCAUUCAUCUAACAAACACUUAUGAGUGUUGAAUAUGGGCCAGGUUCUGAGCUAGGCCAGGAACACAACCCUGAGUAAGAGUAAUCAUAGCUGACACUCGUAUUGCACUUACAGCGUGCCAAGCAUCCCUCUUUUGUAUCAGCUUGUUUCAUCCUUUCCCCAACCCUAGGAGGGAGAAACUGUGAUGAUCCACAUUUUACAGUUGGGAAAACUGAGGCCGAGGGAGCUUAAGUAAUUUGCCUGAAUUCUCACGGCUUAGCCAGGACUUGGACCCAGGUAGUGUGCUCCUAUAUCCGCUGCACCAUUCCAGCUCCCAACAGGGAGGGAGACAGACGCGUCCCCACCCUCCAGAGCUCGCUGUCCUGGAGAAGACAAUUAUAGAACUAGGCAAUUGCAGGCAAUUACAGAAUGAGGGGAGGGGACCCUGAGAGUACACAGAGGGGCUGCCUAGCCCAGGGGGCCAGAGAAGGCUUCCGAGGAAGUGAUACCUACCCUAAGACCUGAAAGACAGCAAUGUGGUUUUUAGAAAAAUCGCUGUGGCUGUCUGUGUGGGAUCAGACAGGAAAUGGCAGGACUGGAGGCAGGGACAGCUUUUUGACUGGUCUGUCACCCCACAAGUCUCUCAUUCAUUCAACAGCUAUUUACUGAACCCCUAUUGUGGGGCCAGGCAGGUCUUAAGGGCAGUGAGCAAAGCAGAAAAAAUCUUGCCCUCCUGGAACUUACCCUCCAGGGAGGGGAAAUAGGCAAGAAACAAAAUGAAUAAAUAUCUCAUACUAUUUGACAAUAACUGCUGGGGAGAUGGGAUGGGUUGCAAUGUUAGACAGAAAUACGGGAGGCCUCAUAAAAAAGCUGGCAUUUGGGAGGCUGAGGCAGGCGGAUUACAAGGUCAGGAGAUUGAGACCGUCCUGGCUAACACGGUGAAACCCCGUCUCUACUAAAAAUACAAAAAAUUAGCCGGGCGUGGUUGCAGGCGCCUGUAGUCCCAGCUACUCGGGAGGCUGAGGCAGGAGAAUGGCCUGAACCCGGGAGGCAGAGCUUGCAGUGAGCCGAGAUCGUGCCACUGCACUCCAGCCUGGGGGACAGAGCGAAACUCCAUCUCAAAAAAAAAAAAAAGCUGGCAUUUGUGGCCUGGUGCAGUGGCUCACAUCUGUCAUCUCAGCAAUUUGGGAGGCCAAAGUGUGCAGAUCACUUGAGGCCAAGAGUUCGAGACCAGCCUGGCCAACAAAGCAAGACCCCAUCUCUACUAAAAAUACAAAAACUAGCCCGGCGUGGUGGCGCACGCCUGUAAUCCCAGCUACUUGGGAGGUUGAGACAUGAGAAUUGCUUGAAGCUGGGAGGUGGAGAUUGCAGUGAGCCGAGAUUACGCCACUACACUCCAGCCUGGGUGACAGAGCGAGUCUGCCUCAAAAAACAAAACAAAACAAAACAAAAAAAACUCUGGCAUUUGUGUAAAUUUCUGAGAAAGUGAGGGAGUGAGUGAAGAAGUAUAUUUCUAGGGGAAAAUCGCUCCAGGCAAGAGGAACAGCCGGGCCACAGGUUCUGAGGCAGGAGUGUGCCUGCCACGUGAUUGGUACGCUCUGACCUUGUUUUCACAGCACGACUCAGGCUGCAGGGAAGAGGCCGGCUGUAGGGUCAGGGACAGCAGCAGGGAGCCCUGCUGGGCCAGGCUGUAGUGCAAGUGAGCCACUGCGGUGGCUGGGACCAGGAUGGCAGGGGUGGGAUGAAUAGAAGUAGUUGGAUUCUGGGUAUAUUUUAAGCCAGGGCAAAUUGACAGAUUUGCUGAUAGAUUAGAUGUGAGGUCCGGCCUGCACCACAGACAGGGUGGAGUUGUCAUUAACUGAGAUGGGGAAAACUGAGGGGAACAGUUUUAGGGAAGAAGAUCAGAAGUCUGGUUCUCAUAUAUCCUUCUUAUCCCCAGCAAUAAUAAAAUAAAUGUCCAGGUUGGGCACAGUGGUUCACACCUGUGAUCCUAGCAUUUUGGGAGGCUUAGGCAGGAGGAUCCCUUGAGCCCAAGAGUUUGAGACCAGCCUGGGCAACAUAGCGAGUCUUUGUCUCUACAAAAAAAAAAUUUUUUUUAACUGGAGCUGGUGGCUCAUGCCUGUAAUCCCAGCUGCUCGGGAGGAUGAGGUAGGAGGAUUGCUUGAUCCCAGGAAUUUUAGGCUGUAAUGAGCUAUGGGUGCCACUGCAUUCUAGCCUGGGCACAAGAGGAAGACCCCAUCUUUAAAAAUAUAAAACAAAUAUAAAUAAAUAAAUAAGCCAGGCAUGAUGGCAUGCACCUGUAGUCCCAGCUACUCAGGUAGCUAAGGUUGGAAGGUCAGCGGGAGGAUCUCUUGAGCCCAGGAGUUUGAGAUCAGCCUAGGCAACAUAGCAAGUCUGUCUUUAUUUAUUUAUUUUUUUAAAGAUAUAUGUAUCCAACAAAUACUUGUUGAAUGAGUGAAGGAAUGGAGGGACGGACAAAGUUGAGAUAGCUAGGAAGCCAAGCCCAGCUGGUUUGGGGUUUGGAGGAAUACCUAAUCCCGUUCUAUUAAUAGCUCUAUGUGUCUCCCACCCCAGCCCUGGGGAUGCUGGCUGGCUCCUGCCCAUGCCCAUAUUUGUGCACACACAUAAGCCUUCUCCUACCUUCAUCCCUGUGGAGGAGGCUCUCAGGCCAGCUGGAAUCUGGGCUUGUCUAGCCUGCGAUUCACGUGGUUGCCCUGGGGCUUGGAUGGAGGAAGAGAAGGCCAGGGCAUCCUGGCAGGCAGGACUGAGGUCAGGGAUCUGCCAGGGGCCUCCGUCGGGCUUUUCAGUGCUCAACAAAGCCACCAGGAGCCUCCAUCCUAUACCUGGGCUCUGAUCAGUGGGACAGAAAUGAUCACUUUGGGCGACGGGAAUGAGCCAGAGCAGGAAGGAGAGGACAGCACUGAGUGGGAGGAGAGGCCCUGGCCUCAGGUGCAAUGAAGGAGGCUUCCUGGAGGAGGCAGAGGACUUGUUUCUUACAGGACAGGAUUGAAGCAGGCCUUUGUGUGAAUUUGAGGACACAGAUGCCUCUGGAGGCAUCGCAGAGCUCUGAGCACUGCAGCGUGUGUCAUAGCUGCGGUGGUGUCACAGCUGCCUGGGGGCUGCCUGGGCAUGGGGGUGCUUCCUGCCUGAAGCACCAGGUGUCAUAUUGGCUAGGAUGCCCAGGCAGAAAAUGGGGGCUAACAAUACCGUGUUUCACCUGAAGUGUUUCCUCUCUGCACCCUGCUUGGCCUUCCUUCCCUCCCUCCCGCUUCAGGCUGGGCCUGAAAUCUGCAGAAGGAAUGGCCCUGGCCCUCAGAGGAAGGGACCCAGCACUAUAGAAUGCUGUGGUUAAGAGCACAGCUCAAGUGCUCUUAACAAGCCGUGUGUUCCUGUGAAGUUACUUCACCUCUCUGUGCUUCUGUUUCCUAUCAGUAAAAUGGGGAUGCUAAUAAUAGCUCCUUCCCUAAAGGCUUACUGGGAAGGAGAUUAAAGAAAUGAGGUAGUGAGUGUGCAGCAUUCAGCAUACCACGCCUGGUGUGGAGCAGGCGCCUAGCAAAUGGCAUCCUUCUGUCCCUCCUCAGACCCAGGGAGUUGAGGUGACUUGCCCAAGGAGCGCCAAGGUAUCCAUCUGGGUGGAUUGGGACCAAGACUUGGGCUUCCCCCUCCCUGUUUCUCUUGCUGCAUCUCCACCUCCAUUCAGGAAGAAAGAAGAUACUUGGACUCCAGGAAAUGAUCACCGUGGAAACCCAUCUGCUGCUUCUUGUCUACGGCUGUUUGUUCCUCCAGCUCUGGGCUGCCUGAGUGUCUCACAGCAGAAUUAGCAAGUGCGGAGGCUGAAGGUUUCUAGAGGCUCUGAGGUCACAGCUCUCGCUUGAGUGCACAUAACUAUAAGCCAUGGUGAGUCCCAAGACUCUGCAAUAUCAGUCAACUCCAGCAGACACUUCAGUCUGGCCCUGUAGACAACCCCCUAACCCCCGCCAGGAUGCAGAGCAGUUCCUGGACCCCACAGGGUGCAGGGCCAGGCAAGCCAUCCAGGGGACCUGGGGACGGGGGUUGGAGAAAGUAGGUUCUAGCCUCUGCUCCUCUUCUAGGCGUGGCUAUGUGAUCUUGGACAAGUCACACCCUUUUCCUGGGCCUUCAUUUUCUUUUUUAUUUAUUUUUUAAAUUUAUUUUUCAUUUUAAAAUUUGUUUUAGAAACUGGGUCCUACUCUGUCACCCAGGCUGGAGCGCAGAGGUACAAUCACAGCUCACAGCAGCCUCAAACUCCUGGGCUCAAGUGAUCCUCUCACCUCGGCCUCUUAUACCGGGACUAUGGAUGUGAGCCACCAGAACUGGUCCCGGGUUUUUCUUUUCUUUCUUUUUUUUUUUUUUUUUUUGAGACAAAGUCUCACUGUGUCGCCCAGGCUGGGGUGCAGUGGCGCGAUCUCCACUCACUGCAACCUCUGCCUCCCAGGUUCAAAUGAUUCUCCCACCUCAGCCUCCUGAGUGGCUGGGAUUACAGGCAACCACCACCAUGCCUGGCUAAUUUUUGUAUUUUUAAUAGAGACAGGGUUUUGCCAUGUUGACCCGGCUGGUCUUGAACUCUCAACCUCAGGUGAUCUACCCACCUCAGCCUCCCAAAGUGCUGGGAUUACAGGCAUGAGCCACCGCACCCAGCCUUGGGCUUUCAUUUUCUUAUCAUCAACCUGAAGUGGUAGCAGAACUAGGCUUUUCAGAGCAAAAAGAUUUGAAAUUCUUACUCAGAAGUAAUCCUGACAGAGCUUGGAAGGUCAAUCCUUCCAUUUCCCAUCCUGUCAACACCACUUUGUUAAGGAAAAUUUUGUAAAGCUUGGAAGUGAAGCAAUGAGGAGCCUGUGUGGCCUUAAUCCUCCCACUGGGGCAUUGCGUAACAAGCCCUCAAGUGUUGUAGGACUCCCUAAAGGGAAGUAACUUUGUUUGACCUUUUUUUUUUUGGAGACAGGGUCUCGCUCUGUCACCCAGGCUGGAGUGCAGUUGUGUGAUCAUGGCUCACUGCAGCCUUGACCUCCCAGGCUCAAGUGAUCCUCCCAACUCAACUUCCUGAGUAGCCAGGACUACAGGCCCACACCACCACACCUGGCUAAUUUUUUUUUCUUUUUUAGAGAUGAAUUCUUUGUUGCCCAGGCUGGUCUCUAACACCUGGGCCCAAGCCAUACUCCUGCCUCACCCUCCCAAAGUGUUGGGAUUACAGGCAUGAGCCACUGUGCCUGGCCUUGUUUGACUUUUUACUCCCUAUGUACAAACUUUUUUCAUUUUGUUUUGUUUUGUUUUGUUUUUGUUUUAGAUGGAGUUUUGCUCUUGUCGCACAGGCUGGAGUGCAAUGGCGCGAUCUCGGCUCACUGCAACCUCUGCCUCCCAGAUUCAAGCAAUUCUCCUGCCUCAGCCUCCCAAGUAGCUGAGAUUACAGGUGCCCACCAUUACACCCGGCUAAUUUUUGUAUUUUUAGUAGAGACGGGGUUUCAACACAUUGGCCAGGCUGGUCUUCAACUCCUGACCCCAAGUGAUCCACCCACCUCGGCCUCCCAAAUGCUGGGAAUACAGGCGUCAGCCACCGCGCCCAGCCUGGCCCAAACAUUUAAUAAGUCUGAGAACUAUGGUGCUAAUGUAUAGAAAACAGAUUUUUGUCCAAUAGUGAUACAAAUGACUUCUGACCAAUAGGGAUCACCCCUAAAGGUUCUAGUUCAUGCACUAUAGAGCAUUCCCCAAUUUGGAAUCUAACUAGCAAUCUUGUUCUGGCAUUCCCUGUGCUUCCUCAACUCCCAUCAGUGGGUUCUCUGAACCAGCUCUGUCAUCCUGAGAGUUGCCUCAUGAAUAAGUGAAACAACAGAGACAUGUGCUUACUGUGUAUUUGUAUGAUUUUUUUUUUUUUUUUACAUUUAGAGGAUUAUAAUUUGGGAGCUCACUGAGGCUCAUUUUCCUCUUCUGUAAAAUAGGGAAUUCAAGGGAGAAGUUGAAUGUGUGUCAGGCACUACUGAGCUCUUUAGAUCCAGAAUUUCAUUUAAGCCUCACAAGAAAACUGCCAGGGCAGAUGGCUAUUCCCCUGAUUUUACAGAUGAGGUUCAGAGAGGUGAAGUGAUUGCCCCAAGGCCACACAGCCAGUGAGUAACAGGCUGGAUUUGAGCCACUGCAUCACAGGAGGCUAAUUCCCUCCUCACAGGCUUACGGUGGGACUCAUUGGAUGAGAUAAGGGUGGAAAAGUGCUUAGCAAACUGUACAGGUAGAUACACAACUGAUCAUUAUAGUCAAUCCGAGCCCACCUUGCCUUACCUUUCUCCUCAUGCCACCUUGCCUAAGACCAAGUCUACCUCUAAUUAAUGUUGUCCCAGACCCAUAUGGACUUCCACUGGGAUGGCACCAGUUUCAAGAGGCUACAGAAGAGAAAUGAAGCCAGAAAAUGAGACAUAGGAUUUAUUUGAGGAGGCUUACAUACAGGAUGGUCCCAUGGUGGCAAGCUGGAUGGGAGAACCACAACCGCUUGCAAAAAAAAUGCAGUUUAUACAGUACCCUCGGCCAGGCACAGUGGCUCAUGCCUGUGCCAGCAUUUUGGGAGGCCGAGGUGGGUGGAUCAUGAGGUCAGGAGUUUGAGACCAGCCUGGCCAACAUGGUGAAACCUCAUCUCUACUAAAAAUACAAAAAUUAGCUGGGUGGGUGGCAGGCGCCUGUAAUCCCAGCUACUCUGGAGGCUGAGGCAGGAGAAUCAUUUGAACCUGGGAGGCAGAGGUUGCAGUGAGCCGAGAUGGUGCCAUUAUACUCCAGCCUGGGUGACAGGGCAAGACUCUGUCUCAAAACAAACAUAUAUAUAUAUAUAUAUAUGGCAUCCCCACAUAGCACCCUCCCUCAGCAUCCUUCAUGUGGCAGCUCUUGUUUCUUCAGUUAUUGCUGUCAGGUGCAUCUACCAUACACCAGCCACCCCUAAACACCACCCAGGGCCUCUCCCUCUGGGAGGUGGGUCUCUGCUUCCUCUAGAGUGAGUUUCUGUUAUCCAGAGAAAGCCAGGGGGGAUUAAGGUGACCAGGCAUCCCUGGUCCAUCCCCUCACACACAGGACCUUGUUCAUACCUCAAGCUGCAGGUUGAGCUUUUAGUCCUGGCCACCUCUUUGGGGGCUGUAUUCCUGGGACAGGGGUCUGGGGAACAUCCCAUAUUCCUGGGACAGGGGUCUGGGGACAAGCCAAGUGAAGUAAAUUUCAAACCCUGAUUCUGAAGCCAUUCUGUGCCAUCCUCCUGAAUGUCUCACCUGAAUUGGACCUGUUUGAAGGCUACAGAAGCCGUGCCCAGCCUCCCUCAAGUUAGUUUCUGGACCCUUCUAGAGCAGCCCACGUCUGAACACCUCAGCUCUGGGUACCAAGGGGUUAAUGCAUGGAGCCAGCUUGGCAAAUGUUUACCUAACAGGCAGGCUGCUGCCAACCCCAGGUAAUUAACAGUCUGCUUUCCAAAGCCCAGACACGAAGAUUUCUUUCUCCUCUCCUCCUUUCCCAGGGAUGCCUCUUGGCAGAGUGAACACAGCUGUCUGUUGGCUCUUUGAGAAGAUGCCCAGCAGAGGUGGGAGCUGAGGGCAGGGAUCAGGCCUGGAGGGAAGCAGGCCCAGAGGUGGGCACCAAGGAGGAGAUGGAGGGAGCUUUGUCCCAUUUCUCUCUGAGUCUUGGCCCCAUCUUGGAAACCUGGCCCCAGACUGCCAUUCUUGAAUAUGUGAUAAUUACUGCUAUAAUUGGUGGAGCCCCUGCAAGGGGCUUACAUACUUUGCCUCACUUAACUUUCACAACUACUAGAAGAGCGAGGCCCUCUUAUCUCUGCUUUCAGAUUAAGGAAGGGAGAUGCAGGGUGAUGAAAUCACUUGUCCAGGCUGGGGGCAGUGGCUCACGCCUGUAAUCCUGGCCCUUUGGGAGGCCAAGGCGGGUGAAUCACGAGGUCAGGAGUUCGAGACCAGCCUGGCUAACAUGGUGAAACCCUGUCUCUACUAAAAAUACAAAAAAUAAUUAACCGGGCGUGGUGGCAGGCGCCUGUAAUCCCAGCUACUCAGGAGGCUGAGGCAGGAGAAUCGCUUGAACCCAGGAGGCGGAGGUUGCAGUGAGCAAAGAUCACGCCACUGCAUUCCAGCCUGGGUGACAAGAGUGAGACUCCAUCUCAAAAAAAAAAGAAAGAAAGAAAGAAAGAAAGAAGUCACUUGUCUAGGGUCACCCAACCAGUGUGGGGUAAAGCCCAUACUUGAACCACAGUCUACUUUCCCUUAUGGAAGAAAAAGCAGUGGAUUUGUUCAGUACCUACUAUAUACUGGACGCUAUGUUGGACACUUUAUGUUUACCUCUAAUCCUGGAGGUGUCAUUUCCUUAAAUUGCUUUAAUAAGCCAUUAGCAUCAGAAGAGUGAGAUAGUCACUUGAGCCCAGGAGUUCAAGACCAACCUGGGCAACAUAGUGAGACCCCCCCC